rnacentral:rRNA from 1 species
UACGAACCGAGCGAACGUUGUUCGGAAUCACUGGGCUUAGAGGGCGCGUAGGCGGGCUAUCAAGUCUGGGGUGAAAUGCCACGGCUCAACCGUGGAACUGCCUCAGAUACUGACGGCCUCGAGGGAGGUAAGGGCAUGCGGAACUGUAGGUGGAGCGGUGAAAUGCGUUGAUAUCUACAGGAACUCCGGUGGCGAAAGCGGCGUGCUGGACCUCUUCUGACGCUGAGGCGCGAAAGCUAGGGGAGCAAACGGG